rnacentral:rRNA from 1 species
CGCCGAUGGAGGGGGAUAACUACUGGAAACGGUAGCUAAUACCGCAUAACGUCGCAAGACCAAAGAGGGGACCUUCGGGCCUCUUGCCAUCGGAUGUGCCCAGAUGGGAUUAGCUAGUAGGUGGGGUAACGGCUCACCUAGGCGACGAUCCCUAGCUGGUCUGAGAGGAUGACCAGCCACACUGGAACUGAGACACGGUCCAG